rnacentral:tRNA from 1 species
GCCAGAGUAGCACAAUGGUAGUGCAGCGGUCUUAUACACCGUAAUCGCCGGAUUAGCGAGUGAUGUUGGUUCGAAUCCAACCUUUGGUACCA